rfam:Triticum aestivum genome assembly, contig: Triticum_aestivum_CS42_TGACv1_scaffold_222971_3B
GUGGUACUCCCUCCAUUCAGAAUUACUCGUCAAAAAAUGAAUGUAUCUAGAUGUAUUUCAGUUGUAGAUACAUCCAUUUUUAUCCAUUUUUGUGACAAGUAAUUCCGAACGGAGGGAGUAGUAU